GUUAUGUUCUUGAAACUUAAAGAAUUUGGCGGUAUCUCAUUCCGUCCAGAGGAAUCUGUCUCGUUAUCGAUAGUCCACGUUGGACCUUACUUAGUUGCUUUGGUUUGUAUACCGCCGUUUAUUGAUUAUCUUUUUAGAGGUUUAAUUUUCUGGUUUCUUUAUUUUGAUUUAUUUCAGGUCAAGGUGCAGCUUGUUUCUAAGUGAAUGAUGGAUUACAUUGUUAUUUGUUUUUGGAUUGUUUAGUUUAAAUAUUAACAUGAAAUUGGAUUUGGUUGUAAUUGUUUGUAGAUUGUUAUUUUGAUAAAUGGUUCUGAGAUAUGCACACAUCGCCCGUCGCU
rnacentral:rRNA from 1 species